UGGGGAAUAUUGCACAAUGGGGGAAACCCUGAUGCAGCCAUGCCGCGUGUGUGAAGAAGGCCUUCGGGUUGUAAAGCACUUUCAGCGAGGAGGAAAGGUCAGUAGCUAAUAUCUGCUGACUGUGACGUUACUCGCAGAAGAAGCACCGGCUAACUCCGU
rnacentral:rRNA from 1 species